UUUAUGGAGAGUUUGAUCCUGGCUCAGGAUGAACGCUGGCGGCGUGCCUAAUACAUGCAAGUCGAGCGAACGGACGAGAAGCUUGCUUCUCUGAUGUUAGCGGCGGACGGGUGAGUAACACGUGGAUAACCUACCUAUAAGACUGGGAUAACUUCGGGAAACCGGAGCUAAUACCGGAUAAUAUUUUGAACCGCAUGGUUCAAAAGUGAAAGACGGUCUUGCUGUCACUUAUAGAUGGAUCCGCGCUGCAUUAGCUAGUUGGUAAGGUAACGGCUUACCAAGGCAACGAUGCAUAGCCGACCUGAGAGGGUGAUCGGCCACACUGGAACUGAGACACGGUCCAGACUCCUACGGGAGGCAGCAGUAGGGAAUCUUCCGCAAUGGGCGAAAGCCUGACGGAGCAACGCCGCGUGAGUGAUGAAGGUCUUCGGAUCGUAAAACUCUGUUAUUAGGGAAGAACAUAUGUGUAAGUAACUGUGCACAUCUUGACGGUACCUAAUCAGAAAGCCACGGCUAACUACGUGCCAGCAGCCGCGGUAAUACGUAGGUGGCAAGCGUUAUCCGGAAUUAUUGGGCGUAAAGCGCGCGUAGGCGGUUUUUUAAGUCUGAUGUGAAAGCCCACGGCUCAACCGUGGAGGGUCAUUGGAAACUGGAAAACUUGAGUGCAGAAGAGGAAAGUGGAAUUCCAUGUGUAGCGGUGAAAUGCGCAGAGAUAUGGAGGAACACCAGUGGCGAAGGCGACUUUCUGGUCUGUAACUGACGCUGAUGUGCGAAAGCGUGGGGAUCAAACAGGAUUAGAUACCCUGGUAGUCCACGCCGUAAACGAUGAGUGCUAAGUGUUAGGGGGUUUCCGCCCC
rnacentral:rRNA from 1 species